rnacentral:RNase_P_RNA from 1 species
UCUGCCGGCUGGGCGGCCGCGCGCGGAAACGCUCGAGGAACGUCCGGGCUCCACAGGGCAGGGUGAUGGCUAACAGCCACCCGGGGUAACCCGCGGGACAGUGCCACAGAAAAUAAACCACCGGCGCGCAUGCGUCGGUAAGGGUGAAAAGGUGAGGUAAGAGCUCACCAGCGGCGCGGGUGACCGCGUCGGCUAGGUAAACCCCACCCGGAGCAAGACCGAGCAGCAGGCAGGGCGGCCCGUCCGACGCCUGCGGGUAGGUUGCUGGAGGCCGUCGGUAACGGCGGUCCUAGAUAGAUGGUCGCCACCGCACGACCGGUAACGGCGUGCGUGACAGAACCCGGCGUAUAGGCCGACAGAUGCC